UACGUAGGGGGCAAGCGUUGUCCGGCUUUAUUGGGCGUAAAGCGCUCGCAGGUGGUUCAUUGCGUCGUGCGUGAAAGACCCCGGCUCAACUGGGGAGGGUCGUGCGAAACGGGUGAACUAGAGGCCAGUAGGGGGAUGCGGAAUUCCGGGUGUAGUGGUGGAAUGCGUAGAGAUCCGGAGGAACACCAGCGGCGAAGGCGGCAUCCUGGACUGGUCCUGACACUCAGGAGCGAAAGCGUGGGGAGCGAUCCGG
rnacentral:rRNA from 1 species